GACGAACGUUGGCGGCGUGCUUAACACAUGCAAGUCGAACGGAAAGGCCCUGCUUUUGUGGGGUGCUCGAGUGGCGAACGGGUGAGUAACACGUGAGUAACCUGCCCUUGACUUUGGGAUAACUUCAGGAAACUGGGGCUAAUACCGGAUAGGAGCUCCUGCUGCAUGGUGGGGGUUGGAAAGUUUCGGCGGUUGGGGAUGGACUCGCGGCUUAUCAGCUUGUUGGUGGGGUAGUGGCCUACCAAGGCUUUGACGGGUAGCCGGCCUGAGAGGGUGACCGGCCACAUUGGGACUGAGAUACGGCCCAGACUCCUACGGGAGGCGGCAGUGGGGAAUAUUGCACAAUGGGCGGAAGCCUGAUGCAGCAACGCCGCGUGCGGGAUGACGGCCUUCGGGUUGUAAACCGCUUUCGCCUGUGACGAAGCGUGAGUGACGGUAAUGGGUAAAGAAGCACCGGCUAACUACGUGCCAGCAGCCGCGGUGAUACGUAGGGUGCGAGCGUUGUCCGGAUUUAUUGGGCGUAAAGGGCUCGUAGGUGGUUGAUCGCGUCGGAAGUGUAAUCUUGGGGCUUAACCCUGAGCGUGCUUUCGAUACGGGUUGACUUGAGGAAGGUAGGGGAGAAUGGAAUUCCUGGUGGAGCGGUGGAAUGCGCAGAUAUCAGGAGGAACACCAGUGGCGAAGGCGGUUCUCUGGGCCUUUCCUGACGCUGAGGAGCGAAAGCGUGGGGAGCGAACAGGCUUAGAUACCCUGGUAGUCCACGCUGUAAACGGUGGGUACUAGGUGUGGGGUCCAUUCCACGGGUUCCGUGCCGUAGCUAACGCUUUAAGUACCCCGCCUGGGGAGUACGGCCGCAAGGCUAAAACUCAAAGGAAUUGACGGGGCCCCGCACAAGCGGCGGAGCAUGCGGAUUAAUUCGAUGCAACGCGUAGAACCUUACCUGGGUUUGACAUGGAUCGGGAGUGCUCAGAGAUGGGUGUGCCUCUUUUGGGGUCGGUUCACAGGUGGUGCAUGGCUGUCGUCAGCUCGUGUCGUGAGAUGUUGGGUUAAGUCCCGCAACGAGCGCAACCCUUGUUCACUGUUGCCAGCACGUUAUGGUGGGGACUCAGUGGAGACCGCCGGGGUCAACUCGGAGGAAGGUGGGGAUGACGUCAAGUCAUCAUGCCCCUUAUGUCCAGGGCUUCACGCAUGCUACAAUGGCUGGUACAGAGAGUGGCGAGCCUGUGAGGGUGAGCGAAUCUCGGAAAGCCGGUCUCAGUUCGGAUUGGGGUCUGCAACUCGACCUCAUGAAGUCGGAGUCGCUAGUAAUCGCAGAUCAGCAACGCUGCGGUGAAUACGUUCCCGGGGCU
rnacentral:rRNA from 1 species